rnacentral:rRNA from 1 species
AUGACUGCCUUCGGGUUGUAAACCUCUUUCGGUGGGGACGAAGCGCAAGUGACGGUACCCACUAAAGAAGCACCGGCCAACUACGUGCCAGCAGCCGCGGUAAUACGUAGGGUGCGAGCGUUGUCCGGAAUUAUUGGGCGUAAAGGGCUCGUAGGCGGUUUGUCGCGUCGGGAGUGAAAACGCCGUGCUUAACACGGCGCUUGCUUUCGAUACGGGCAGACUAGAGGUAUUCAGGGGAGAACGGAAUUCCUGGUGUAGCGGUGAAAUGCGCAGAUAUCAGGAGGAACACCGGUGGCGAAGGCGGUUCUCUGGGAAUGACCUGACGCUGAGGAGCGAAAGUGUGGGGAGCGAACAGGAUUAGAUACCCUGGUAGUCCACACCGUAAACGUUGGGCGCUAGGUGUGGGGUCCAUUCCACGGAUUCCGUGCCGCAGCUAACGCAUUAAGCGCCCCGCCUGGGGAGUACGGCCGCAAGGCUAAAACUCAAAGGAAUUGACGGGGGCCCGCACAAGCGGCGGAGCAUGCGGAUUAAUUCGAUGCAACGCGAAGAACCUUACCUGGGUUUGACAUACACCCUGCCGCUCCAGAGAUGGGGCUUCUUUUGGGGGUGUACAGGUGGUGCAUGGCUGUCGUCAGCUCGUGUCGUGAGAUGUUGGGUUAAGUCCCGCAACGAGCGCAACCCUCGUUCUAUGUUGCCAGCACGUAAUGGUGGGGACUCAUAGGAGACUGCCGGGGUCAACUCGGAGGAAGGUGGGGAUGACGUCAAGUCAUCAUGCCCCUUAUGUCCAGGGCUUCACGCAUGCUACAAUGGCCGGUACAAAGGGCUGCGAUCCCGUAAGGGGGAGCGAAUCCCAAAAAGCCGGUCUCAGUUCGGAUUGGGGUCUGCAACUCGACCCCAUGAAGUCGGAGUCGCUAGUAAUCGCAGAUCAGCAACGCUGCGGUGAAUACGUUCCCGGGCCUUGUACACACCGCCCGUCACGUCACGAAAGUCGGCAACACCCGAAGCCGG